GACGAACGCUGGCGGCGUGCUUAACACAUGCAAGUCGAACGAUGAACCAGGGCUUGCCCUGGGGAUUAGUGGCGAACGGGUGAGUAACACGUGGUCAACCUGCCCCAGACACCGGGAUAACCUCUCGAAAGAGUGGCUAAUACCGGAUACGACCACUUUGGGCAGCCAACGGCGGUGGAAAGGAGUCUGGUCGGGGAUGGGUCCGCGGCCUAUCAGCUUGUUGGUGGGGUAAUGGCCUACCAAGGCAACGACGGGUAGCCGGCCUGGGGGGGCGACCGGCCACACUGGGUCUGAGACACGGCCCAGACUCCUACGGGAGGCAGCAGUGGGGAAUAUUGCGCAAUGGGCGAAAGCCUGACGCAGCGACGCCGCGUGAGGGACGAAGGUCUUCGGAUUGUAAACCUCUUUCAGCAGGGACGAAGCGAAAGUGACUGUACCUGCAGAAGAAGCACCGGCUAACUACGUGCCAGCAGCCGCGGUAACAC
rnacentral:rRNA from 1 species